AAAGCUCAAAUUUGAAAUCUGACAUCUUUGGUGUUCGAGUUGUACUUUGGAGAGGCAUCUUCUGGAGGGGGCCCGCCUUAUGUGCCUUGGAACAGGACGUCAUAGAGGGUGAGAAUCCCGUUUUGUGUUGGACGUUCCCUCCUGUAAGUAGUGUCUUCUACGAGUCGAGUUGUUUGGGAAUGCAGCUCAAAAUGGGUGGUAAAUUUCAUCUAAAGCUAAAUAUUGGCGAGAGACCGAUAGCGCACAAGUAGAGUGAUCGAAAGAUGAAAAGCACUUUGAAAAUAGAGUCAAACAGUACGUGAAAUUGUUGAAAGGGAAGCGCUUGAGACUAGACUCAGCCUUUGGCAAACAACUGUCCUUCUGGGUGGUGCACUUGUUAUUGGUUGGGCCAGCAUCGGUUGGGACGGCAGGAUAAAGGCUCAGGGAAUGUGACUCCACUAUGGAGUGUUAUAGCCCCAGGUGACAUGCUGUCAGCCC
rnacentral:rRNA from 1 species